GUUAAGGCGGUCCGGACCUGCCAGCCCCUGCCUCCCAUCCCUCAGCACACUGGCCAUGACAACAGAUCUCCAAGAAGGGGGCCCCCACAGAGCCCCGCUCCCGAGUUCCUCUCUCCACCCCCCUUCCCACCGUAGGGUGCUAGAGGUCAGCUGGAAGGGAGCCGCCUUAAGAGAGCCAGAGGUGUGUGCGGGCAGUUGGGUGGGGGCCUGGCUAUAUAGGCCCUGCAGCAGCUGGCAGGCAGCGCGGACAUGACAGCUGCCCAGGAGCUCUACGGCUUCCCAGCCUCCAAGCUGGACGCCUUCGUGGCCCGGUGGCUGCAGCCAACCAGAGAAUGGAAAGAGGAGGUCCUGGAGACCGUGCAGACCGUGGAGCGGUUCCUGAGGCAGGAGAACUUCCGCGGAGAACGUGGCCUGGUCCGGGAUGCACAAGUACUCAAGGUAUUCAAGGUAGGCUGCUUUGGGAACGGCACAGCGCUGAGGAGUACCACAGAGGUAGAACUGGUGGCGUUCCUGAGCUGUUUCCGCAGCUUCCAGGAAGAGGCCAGGCACCACCACGCUGUCCUGAGAUUGAUACAGAAAAGGAUGUCUUACUGCCGCGACCUGCUGGACCUCGGCCUCAGUAACCUGAGUGUGACUGACGGAGUACCCAGUCGUCUCAUCUUCACCAUCCAGACCAGGGAGACCUGGAAGACCAUCACUGUCACCAUCGUGCCUGCCUACAGAGCCCUGGGCUUGGCCUGUCCCAGCUCCGAGGUCUACGUGAAUCUGAUCGAGGCUAACGGGUACCCAGGGAAUUUCUCUCCAUCCUUCAGCGAGCUACAGAGAAACUUCGUGAAGCAUCGGCCGACGAAGCUGAAGAGUCUCCUGCGGGUGGUCAAACACUGGUACCAGCAGUAUGUGAGGGACAAGUGCCCCCGGGCCAACCUGCCCCCUCUCUAUGCCCUGGAGCUGCUAACUGUCUACGCAUGGGAAGCAGGCACCCAGGAGGAUGCAAACUUCAGGCUGGAUGAAGGCCUCGCCACCGUGAUGGAGCUGCUCCAGGAUCACGAACUCCUCUGCAUCUACUGGACCAAGUACUACACGCUGCAGCACCCAGUCAUCAAGGCCUGCGUCAGGACACAGCUCAGGGGAGAAAGGCCCAUCAUCCUAGACCCAGCAGACCCCACCCACAAUGUGGCGGAAGGCUACAGAUGGGAUAUAGUUGCUCAGCGGGCCAACCAGUGUCUGAAACAGGACUGUUGCUAUGACAACAGGGACAGCCCCGUCCCCAGCUGGACUGUGAAGAGAGCGCCCGAUAUCCAGGUGACUGUGCAGCAGUGGGGGCACCCCGAUUUAAUCCUCUGGGUGAACCCUUAUCAACCCAUAAAGAAACUGAAAGAGAAAAUCCAACUGAGCCGGGGCUACUCGGGCUUGCAACGCCUGUCCUUUGAGGAGCCCGGCCGCCAGCGUCAGCUCCUCAGAAGCCAGUGCUCCCUUGCCUACUACGGGAUCUUCUGCGACACCCACAUCUGCCUGCUGGACACCAUCUCCCCUGAGAUCCAGGUCUUUGUGAAGAACCCGGACGGCAAGAGCCACGCCUAUGCGAUCCACCCACUUGACUUCGUCCUGAACCUCAAGCAACAGAUCGAAGACAGGCUGGGCCUUCGCAGCCAGGAGCAGCAGCUGGAGUUCCAGGGCCACGUCCUAGAGGACUGGUUUGACUUUAAGUCCUACAGCAUCCAAGACAGUGUCACUAUCAUCCUGUCCAAGAAGAGGGAGGGGACAGCUUCAUUCGUGCCCAGCUAGCUUCCUCUGCCUUUUUUACUAUCGCAUCCUAGACUCAGCCUUGUUGCCCCUCCUUCGGGUCCUCUGCCGGGAUGGUUUGCGUCUUCCCCUCCUUCCGGUCCUUGGUCGGGUUGGUCCACGUCUUCCGUACCCAGCCAGCAGGGAGCCAGAAGGGAUGUGAGAAGCCUGUAUAGCCAGACACUCUUGUGUGACAAUGGAAUUCUGCAGUCACCUCACCCGGAAAGUCACACCAGGAUCUCUGCCAUCCUCAUGACCACGCUAUCAAGACUGGGUCAUGGCCAGGCAGUGGUGGCACACGCCUUUAAUCCCAGCACUCUGGGAGGCAGAGGCAGGUGGAUUUCUGAGUUCGAGGCCAGCCUGGUCUACAGAGUGAGUUCCAGGACAGCCAGGGCUAUACAGAGAAAACCCUGUCUCAAAAAAAAAAAAAAAAAAAAGUAAAUAAACCAAGAAUCCAGUUUGUUGGUUUUUUUCUUGCUAUGUGGCCAUGGGAAAACAGAGUAACAUCUGUAAAGUGCUUGGCAUUGUGGUCAGCCCAUGUCAAAGGCUCACUCCUGGGUUGCUAGAGUUAGUGUAGCUGGAGAAGUGUUUGGGUACUGAUGGCAGAAAAGACUGGCUGAGUCAUGGCUUGACCAUUUGCUAACCAGCCUAAGGCAAAUAACUGACACUGUGAGCUUCUUGUACCACAGCUUUAAAACAGGGCUGAUACAUUUUACAGAGAUAAAAGUAAUCCUUCCUGCAUUCCGGCCUUCCGCCUGCCAGGGAAGGGGAAGGCAAGAGAAAUUUUUUAUGGCUUUGCUUGCUGGUCACCUCUCAAUAGAGGGUAAGCACAAAAAGACACGGCUGGAAGCCUGCUGCAUGCACCUUUGAACAGAAGGCAAGGCUGGGCAUUCCAGUCAGAUUCAAACAACACACGCUGACUUGAGUUUUCCUGGAGUACUGGCUGAAGUGGUCAGGCCAAGCUUUGUGAGAAGUGCGCACCCAUCUGUGUCUGGAGAUCAGAUGGCUACCUGAGGGAACACUGGCUCUCUCCUUCCCGUGUGUGCUCUCGGGUCUAAGCCAAGCCAUUAGGCUCAGAAGCAAGGACCUUUCCUCGCUGAGCCAUCUUGCCAGCCCCUAGCAAGGCAAGAAUGUCAUUUUCAUUAGCCCUCCAUGGCCUUCUCCUACAUUAGCUCCUAUUAUUAUUUGGGGUCGGGUACAUUUACUUAUCUAUUGGGGAGGAACCACAGCAUAUGUCAGCUCUUUCCACACUCUGGGGUCCCCAAGCUCAGGUCAUCAGCUUUGGUGGCAGCUGAGUCGAGUCUCACUGGUCUUCCUUAGCAGUGGGGGUGGGGAGUUCAGAUUGAGAAUUUAACUGAGUACUUAAUUGAAUGUGGUCUUCAAUUCCUGACUCUCCCAGGUGUUGGGAUGACAAGCGUGUGCCACCACAGCCAGGUUACCAUCACUCUUUGUGAGUUAAAUUCAAUCUCAACACGGAGUAUCACUGCAAAUUGUUUAUUAAAACACAAAGCAAUGGACAGUGAAAAACAUCCUGAUUUUUUACUUUUUGGUGGAAGUGGGGUGGGGCAUGGAAGGGGUAGAGACGGAUGGAGACAGCCCAGAAGGAACAACUGCUCUACCUACCCCCUGCUGCUUCCCUGGCCAGCCAGGUUCAGGGCCCCUCAAUACACCUUGCUACACUGCUGUAAAUGUACGGUGUGGCCUUGAAGGGAAAGAGAGGAGCUACAGAGGCUAAGGACUUGACGCCUGCUCUUCAGUACUGGGUUCCAGAGGAAGCAGCCAACUUCAAUGCUGAGGACCAGGUUGGUUCCCUCACAAGCCAGGCUGGGCUGAUGGUGGUUGAAGAAGCUCCCCUGAGCUUAGAAUGGAUAGCCAUCCAACCCCGGGACAACUGUGUGAAAAGGUAAUGUUCCUUAACUCCAACCAAGGAACUAAUCCAGGGUCAAAUUUCUUCUCAUUCCCUGGAUCAUGGCACACCAGGAAAGCGAAGAGCCAAGAAGGCCUCUUUUCCUCGCUUUGCCAUGACAUCUCUUCUUGCCAAGUCUCCCCUCCCACCUGGCACCUCAACUGUUUCCUGACAGUUGUCCUUUGAAAGGACGGAAAGCACACUUCAGUUUGUUGUUGUUUUUCCUCAUACUGGAAUAAAGCACUAAGCUCAAAAUAGAGGUGAGGCUGGAGCUCUGCUUUUCCCGACGCUAUGCGCUCCCAUCACACAAGACUGCCUGGAUGCGAGCGAGCGAGUGAGCGAGCGUGCCAGGGCCUCUCUGCCAACUCCACAGGCACUCCUGUUCCCUGGCUGCCAGCACCAUCCUGCCCCUUGUUUUUAUACUCCUGAGAGAAGCCAUCCCAAGAGAUGCACUCUGUUCUUUUCCUGCCGAUCCAACCAGUCCCCAGGCCUGCUCUUAUCAAGACGAUCUGGCCACCUAGAGAAACGAGGCAAAAGCAGCCUGAGAAAGAAAGGCAGAGCAGAUGGGCAAUAGGCCAUCCACGCACAGAGCAAGCGGCCUCCCUGGGCAGCUGACCCCAGCACCUGCAGUCGUCUACCACCAUGCAGAAAUCCACACCUGCCCCUGCCCUGAGUCGGGGAGACUGACAGACAGCUCUAGUUCCCCUGAAGAGAAAGCUACCCAAGCUCUCGGGUGUAAGCAGCAAGGCUCCUUUGCAAUUUUCUUGGUGCUCUUUGAUCCUAAUUACAUCUUCCCUGUCAGAGAGGUCGAGCUCUUCUGCCAUCUCUGAGCGGAUCCUGGGUGUCUGCAGUUGUCUGUGUAGCCUCAGUCAGUCAUACCUGAGAGUCACCUUCUUCAGAGGCACAGCAGGAGGCCUAACGACACCUCGCUAGCUCUGUCUUUUAACAGCAGGAGCAUCUGUUAGUCUCUCAUUGGAGAGUACUCAUGUGCUCUCCUAGGUUUUUAUAGAGUCACAGAGCAGAAUCACAUGUGGUGGCCACACUUCCAUUUAAGGUUCCUCAAGGCGAGAAGACACUUGAAUUAUGUCAGAGCAGGCCAGCGAGGAGGGGGAGAGACAGAGAAAGAGCCCAUGAUGGGGACUAUCGGAGCCUGCUCAGACCUGGAUCCAGAGGUACGCCCACCUAACUCAGAGCAGGAGAGGAAAAGGCACUGUGCUGACGGGGCGGGUCCUUCCCCAGUUCCCAGGGAGGAGAGGGAACCUACUGACUCCUUACUGACUCCUCCCUGGACUCUGAAAGGUGAGCCAGUUUCUAAGGAGAGGGCUCUGCGUGCUAAGAGAAGGGAAUGCUGCGGCUGUCUCUCAGAUCCUUAGCUAAGACCUAGGCCAGGGCAUCUCUUCCCAGGAGAGGCAAGAAUGAGACAAGAAGGAGAAAUUCCUUAAAACAGAAGCUUCUCAACAAAAUUAAAAAGUCGAACCACAGUUCUAAAACUGCUCCCAGGCACACAAAGCAGGAGUCAAACACAGCUUAACUCUACCCAUCUCACUGAGGCGCAUGUGACCCUGGGAUCCCCUACCCAGCAGGAACAGGAGGAAAGGUCACAUAUUUCAUCGAUGGGCAUUUGAAGGCUGCCUUUCAAACUGCCAGAUCUGUGGGUGUCUCGUGAGCAGCUCCUCCUCAGGACUGCAGGCUUUCCAAACAAUAGAUUUAAUGGUUUUGGGACAUGAAUCCCACAAAUCAUUUCUUGGCACAAUGUUUAAGAAUUUGAAUAAGACCUAAAGCAACGCAGUCAGAGGCCAGCUGCCCUGACUGACCUGAAUCACACUGACCCUGUGACUCAACCCAGCCGUCCCUGCUUGCUCCUCCCAAGCAUGGCCAGAACCACACUACUCCUUUGCCUUCCUCUCUACCGCUGGAUCUGUGGGCUCUAAAAUCCUGGGUCAGAGGACAGCUCAGACGGAAAACCCUGGCCUCUCCUGUCCACUCCCUGACUGGCACCUCACGGCUCCCACCCCCAGGCAACUCCUUGUUCUAGCUCAAAACUCAGAGGAACAAACAGUGCAGAAAGCAACAUGAACAAUGGAGUAAUUCUUGACACACACAAUACAAAAAUAAAAAUAAAGACUGCCCCACCCAGCCCGUUAGCCCAAACCUCGUGUACCUACAUCUGUUGGAGGAAGGGCAAAGCUUUCAAGUUCAUCGUGAAGCAGCUGUAUUAGCUGAGCAGGCUUGGCUAGGGAGUCUACCCCAGGCCCGCCCCGCCACACUCCUUCCCUUCUGUUUCCUCGCUUCCCUUUUAGUUUUUGUUAGCUACAGAAAGAUGUUCCUUCCGUUCAGACACCACUACAGAGGAAAGCAGCGUCCCAAUCCCUCAGGGAAGGGGUGGGCUUGGAAACAGAGGCAGGAGCCGAGCUGCUUGGCUUACAGUACCGUUAGGAAAUGGCCCCGGGAGUCAGGGUUUCCUUCUGAGACUCUGAGUCACCACAGGGAUGAGUUGGGGUGAGAAAGCAGGACCCCUCCUUCCUCAGAGACCCAGGCAAACAAGGCAGCAUGGAGGCAGCUGUUCUCCUUCACCUCUUUGUCAAUGUGCUGACACUGGCCCACAGGUUUGUAAUAGUGAUGGACCAGGAACCAAAGCUCUGUCAGAAGCCCCAUGAGUCAGGACACCUAUUGCCCUAGGCAGGUAGUUCCCAAGAGGCCACGGUAGUACCUGAUCCUGUAGAAACAGGACCUUUGCAAGCACUCCAGGAAGAGCUCCUGACAGCAACUUGAGGCCAUAGCUGUGCGGCUGCCCACUCAGUACCCAAGGGCUAGCCUAAGUCACAGAGAAAAUAGAGGACAGUUCUCAAAUGACGGAAUGCUGGCCUGGAGUCAUCAUUAGGAGCCAAAGUCAAGACGUAGCCCAAGAACUACUUACUGUGUCACACAGCUCAGAUAUCUGAUAAGGCAAACUUAACAUUUUAACACAUUCAGAACUAUGGGCCUGGCCUGGCUUACACUGCCCCACCUCAAGCUGAAGCAGACCCUGCUGCUUCUGACCUAGAGAAUCCCUUUUAUCGCAGCUGGGCUGU